rnacentral:rRNA from 1 species
AGCAGCCGCGGUAAUUCCAGCUCCAAUAGCGUAUAUUAAAGUUGUUGCAGUUAAAAAGCUCGUAGUUGAAUUUCGAGACCGGUCUACUGGUCGUGCUUUUGUACGUACUGGUUUUAUUGGUUUCUCCUUUCUGACGAACUAUAAUGCCAUUAAUUUGGUGUUAUGGGGAAUCAGGACUGUUACUUUGAAAAAUUAGAGUGUUUAAAGCAGGCUCACGCUUGAAUACAUUAGCAUGGAAUAACGGAAUAGGACGUUUGAUUCUAUUUUGUUGGUUUCUAGGAUCGACGUAAUGAUUAAUAGGGAUAGUUGGGGGCAUUAGUAUUCAAUUGUCAGAGGUGAAAUUCUUGGAUUUAUUGAAGACUAACUACUGCGAAAGCAUUUGCCAAGGAUGUUUUCAUUAAUCAAGAACGAAAGUUAGGGGAUCGAAGACGAUCAGAUACCGUCGUAGUCUUAACCAUAAACUAUGCCGACUAGGGAUCGGAUGAUGUUAACUUUUUAAUGACUCAUUCGGCGCCUUACG